rnacentral:ncRNA from 1 species
AUCUUCGGGGCGGGGCGCAAUUCCCCACCGGCGGUACAGCCCGCGAGCGUUUUCCGAGGGACGGAGUUCCGGAAAACCGCAUGAUUCGGUGAGAUUCCGAAGCCGACAGUAUAGUCUGGAUGAAAGAAGAUG